AUUGAACGCUGGCGGCAGGCCUAACACAUGCAAGUCGAGCGGAUGAAGGGAGCUUGCUCCUGGAUUCAGCGGCGGACGGGUGAGUAAUGCCUAGGAAUCUGCCUGGUAGUGGGGGAUAACGUCCGGAAACGGGCGCUAAUACCGCAUACGUCCUGAGGGAGAAAGUGGGGGAUCUUCGGACCUCACGCUAUCAGAUGAGCCUAGGUCGGAUUAGCUAGUUGGUGGGGUAAAGGCCUACCAAGGCGACGAUCCGUAACUGGUCUGAGAGGAUGAUCAGUCACACUGGAACUGAGACACGGUCCAGACUCCUACGGGAGGCAGCAGUAGGGAAUAUUGGACAAUGGGCGAAAGCCUGAUCCAGCCAUGCCGCGUGUGUGAAGAAGGUCUUCGGAUUGUAAAGCUCUUUAAGUUGGGAGGAAGGGCAGUAAGUUAAUACCUGGCUGUUUUGACGUUACCUACAGAAUAAGCACCGGCUAACUUCGUG
rnacentral:rRNA from 1 species